rnacentral:rRNA from 1 species
UACGAGUAGCCCGAGCGUUAUCCGGAAUCAUUGGGCGUAAAGGGUGUGUAGGUGGCAGUGUUAGUCAAUUGUUAAAACCUGGGGCUUAACCCCAGAAGUGCGAUUGAAACGGCACAGCUAGAGGAUGGCAGGGAUAGAUGGAACUCAUGGAGUAGGGGUGAAAUCCGUUGAUAUCAUGGGGAACACCGAAAGCGAAAGCAGUCUAUUGGGCCACGCCUGACACUGAAACACGAAAGCGUGGGUAGCGAAUGGG